rnacentral:lncRNA from 1 species
UUGGGGGACAGUGAAGGUGUUGAAAACGUGUCAUCCCCUGUCAAAAACACCUAUUUUUGGCCUGCCUAAAGAUUUUCAAGCAAUAACGGUAGCUCACAAUGUCUGGUUACAGUAUUUCCAUACACACACG